rnacentral:antisense_RNA from 1 species
UUGUGUCUUUAUGAGAUCAGACACAAGAGUGUUCUCUCCCUUGCAUGCGUGCACUCUCUCUCUUCCCCUCCCUGCCCUUGCCUCCUUGCGCCUGCAUAAAGAAGAGGCUAUAUGGGCACAUAGUGAGAUGGUGGCCUCCCAUGAGCCAAGAAAAGAGGGCUUAAAAUGAAUCCUACGUGGCUGGCACCUUGAUCUUGGACUUCCUAGCAUCCAGAAAUGUGACAUGGUUUUCUGGUGCCUUGGCCACUAUUCACGAUGCAUGGGAAGACUAAACACUUUGUGCAUAGCAUUCUGUCUCAUCUAGUGAAGUCUUCGUCUGGAUUAUUGAAGCAGACACCUCCAACCUCUUAAUCUGUACUGAAUAUUGCUCUGUCGCCAGGCUGGAGUGCAGUGGUGCGAUAUCAGCUCACUGCAACCUCCGCCUCUCGGGUUCAAGCAAUUAUCCUGCCUCAGCCUUUUGAGUAGCUGGGACUACAGGCACACGAUACCAUGCCAGGCUAAUUUUUGUAUUUUUAGUAGAGACAGGAUUAUCACUAUGUUGGCCAGGAUGGUUUUGAUCUCUUGACUUCGUGAUCCGCCCUCCUCGGCCUCCUAAAGUGCUGGGAUUACAGGUGUGAGCCACCGCACCUGGCCUGGACUUGUCUAUUUCAUUUGGAGACCUUCAAUUGAUCUAAAUCUACUUUGCAGCUUUUCAUCGUUAAUUUUGAAUUUAUUUAAACAAGUAAAAUAUUUAAGACAUUUGUGUGGAAAACCUGUAACAAAUUGCAUUUGGUUCAAUCCCUGAUUAUGUUUUAGAUA